rnacentral:rRNA from 1 species
AUUGAACGCUGGCGGCAUGCCUUACACAUGCAAGUCGAACGGCAGCGGACCUUCGGGUGCCGGCGAGUGGCGAACGGGUGAGUAAAGUAUCGGAACGUACCUUUCAGUGGGGGAUAACGUAGCGAAAGUUACGCUAAUACCGCAUAUUCUGUGAGCAGGAAAGCAGGGGAUCGCAAGACCUUGCGCUGAUUGAGCGGCCGAUAUCAGAUUAGCUAGUUGGUGAGGUAAAGGCUCACCAAGGCGACGAUCUGUAGCGGGUCUGAGAGGAUGAUCCGCCACACUGGAACUGAGACACGGUCCAGACUCCUACGGGAGGCAGCAGUGGGGAAUUUUGGACAAUGGGGGCAAACCUGAUCCAGCCAUGCCGCGUGAGUGAAGAAGGCCUUCGGGUUGUAAAGCUCUUUCGGCCGGGAAGAAAUCGCGCCAGUUAAUACCUGGUGUGGAUGACGGUACCGGAAUAAGAAGCACCGGCUAACUACGUGCCAGCCGCCGCCGUAAGAC